rnacentral:rRNA from 1 species
UACGUAGGGUGCAAGCGUUAUCCGGAAUUAUUGGGCGUAAAGAGCUCGUAGGCGGUCUGUCGCGUCUGGUGGGAAAACCGGAGGCUCAACCUCCGGCCUGCAGUGGGUACGGGCAGACUAGAGUGCGGUAGGGGAGAUUGGAAUUCCUGGUGUAGCGGUGGAAUGCGCAGAUAUCAGGAGGAACACCGAUGGCGAAGGCAGAUCUCUGGGCCGUAACUGACGCUGAGGAGCGAAAGCGUGGGGAGCGAACAGG